AAAACAUUGGACAAUGAGGUGGAGGUUGUUGAGGGAAUGAAGCUAGACAGGGGCUACAUAUCCCCUUAUUUCAUCACCAACCAGAACAAUCAGAAAUGUGAAUUGGAAAAUCCUCUAAUCAUAAUCCAUGAGAAGAAAAUCUCAAGUAUUAAUGAUGUGGUUAAAGUAUUGGAGUUGGUUUUGCAGUUAUGAUUUCAGAUCUGUAGAUAACCUGUUGUUGCUGAUAUUGCUACACGGGAGGAGAACAGAACAACUUGGAAAAUGUGCAAGAAGGGAGAGCUAACUGCAAGAAGG